rnacentral:rRNA from 1 species
CAGCCGCCGCGGGAAUACGAAGGGUGCAAGCGUUACUCGGAAUUACUGGGCGUAAAGCGCACGCAGGCGGUCUGUCAAGUCAGAUGUGAAAUCCCCGGGCUUAACCUGGGAACUGCAUUUGAAACUGGCAGGCUAGAGUCUUGUAGAGGGGGGUAGAAUUCCAGGUGUAGCGGUGAAAUGCGUAGAGAUCUGGAGGAAUACCGGUGGCGAAGGCGGCCCCCUGGACAAAGACUGACGCUCAGGUGCGAAAGCGUGGGGAGCAAACAGGAUUAGAUACCCCGGUAGUCCCUGUCUCUUAUAC